UACAGAGGGUGCAAGCGUUGCUCGGAAUCAUUGGGCGUAAAGGGCAGGUAGGUGGUCUCGUUUGUCUGGGGUGAAAGCCUUGAGCUUAACUCAAGAAGUGCCUUAGAAACGGCGAGACUGGAGUCUUGGAGAGGGUCGUGGAAUUCCCGGUGUAGCGGUGAAAUGCGUAGAGAUCGGGAGGAACACCAGAGGCGAAGGCGGCGACCUGGACAAGUACUGACACUGAACUGCGAAAGCGUGGGGAGCAAACAGG
rnacentral:rRNA from 1 species